rnacentral:rRNA from 1 species
AUUGAACGCUGGCGGCAGGCCUAACACAUGCAAGUCGAACGAGUGGCGGACGGGUGAGUAAUGUCUGGGAAACUGCCUGAUGGAGGGGGAUAACUACUGGAAACGGUAGCUAAUACCGCAUACCAUCAGAUGUGCCCAGAUGGGCGUAGCUAGUUGGUGGGGUAACGGCUCCCCAAGGCGACGAUCCCUAGCUGGUCUAAGAGGAUGACCAGCCACACUGUAACUGAGACACGGUCCAGACUCCUACGGGAGGCAGCAGUGGGGAAUAUUCCACAAUGGGCGCAAGCCUGAUGCAGCCAUGCCGCGUGUAUGAAGAAGGCCUUCGGGUUGUAAAGUACUUUCAGCGGGGAGGCGUUACCCACAGAAGAAGCACCGGCUAACUCCGUGCCAGCAGCCGCGGUAAUUC